rnacentral:miRNA from 1 species
UGAGGCAGGAGAUUGCA